rnacentral:rRNA from 1 species
GACGAACGCUGGCGGCGUGCUUAACACAUGCAAGUCGAACGGUAAGGCCCUUCGGGGUACACGAGUGGCGAACGGGUGAGUAACACGUGGGUGAUCUGCCCUGCACUUCUGGAUAAGCCUGGGAAACUGGGUCUAAUACCGGAUAGGACCACUGCCUGCAUGGGUGGUGGUGGAAAGCUUUUGCGGUGUGGGAUGGGUCCGCGGCCUAUCAGCUUGUUGGUGGGGUGAUGGCCUACCAAGGCAACGACGGGUAGCCGGCCUGAGAGGGCGACCGGCCACACUGGGACUGAGAUACGGCCCAGACUCCUACGGGAGGCAGCAGUGGGGAAUAUUGCACAAUGGGCGCAAGCCUGAUGCAGCGACGCCGCGUGAGGGAUGACGGCCUUCGGGUUGUAAACCUCUUUCAGCAUCGACGAAGCGAAAGUGACGGUAGGUGCAGAAGAAGGACCGGCCAACUACGUGCCAGCCGCCGCGGUAA